GUUUAUGGGUGGACUCCUGUGCUUGGGACCAUGGUAUCAUUAGUGGAAGCAUUUGUCAGAAUACCUGAGUUAUGUUUCGACGAGUGCAAACAAUGGCAUGCAAACUAUUGGGAUUGUGAUUGCAAGUCUUGUGACAAAGAUGGUAACAGUGGCAAUGGCCAUGACAGUUGUGUGCUUCUAAAAGGUUUAUCAGAAGCUAAAAAAUUGACAUUGUUUUCUUAAUCCUGUAAUGGUAUACCUGGACUCUUGUCUUUUACCUUUGUCAUUAUAUUCAUCUCAUUAUAUAUUCUGCAUUAUCUAUAUUGUUGGAGGUUAUUGAGAAAUGUCACCUAGACUAGCCUUUGCUUUUGUGCUUGUGUUGCCAACAACUAGUAUUUUUGUGGCUUUUAAUUGUCAUGCUAGUAUUUCAUCUUUUCUGCUUGCACUUUGUCCAGUAUAUUUUCAAAAGGGACUUGAGAUGCUGCCCAACGUUUAGCAAGUUGAAGACUUUGUUACUCAACAAAUACUGGUCUGAGCCUGAUAGUUUACAUCCACUUGCAUGUAUCCUUGAACAUUCUCCAGUUCUGGAGAAGCUCACUCUUCAGCUAUUUUUGUGGAGAAGCUCACUCUUCAGCUAUUUUUGGAGGUGCCUAAAUGUGUAGAGGAAAUGAAAGGAAUCCCUGAUCCGGAAGAGUUAUCAUCUGCUAUAUCAGAAUUCCUUCAGAUAAUUGAAGUCAAAUGUGAAAUGGUUGAUAAAGUGGUUCUCAAUAUUUUGAAGUUUCUGAGUAAACUUGGCAUAAUUUUUGAUCAACAUGGGGUUUUGGCUGAAGAUGGAUCUGGUACCACUUAGCAUAUUACACAAGAUACGAUGCAAAGCUCCAUCAGGGAAGGAUCGUUGCUGCCAGCCAAGGAUGUCUUUCAUCUCUGGUUCCUAGUUUUAGUUGUAGCUGUAAGGAACACUUAGGAGUCAGUAAUUAGUUGUUUCAAUCAUUUAGCUGUACCUGGUUUGACCUUGUUAUGGCUUUCGCUACCUUCCUCCCCGAUCAAUGAUUAGCAUACUCAAGGUAGUGUCCAUGUUCUAUGCAAUUUGAGAAGAAACUCAGUAUCAUAUAUCUUGUCCUUGCUGAGUCCAAUUCCUGUGAUGCUAGGAUUGAAUCUGUAGUAAUGCUGGGUGAGUACUAUUACACUCACAUGAUUAAA